rnacentral:rRNA from 1 species
GAUCAUGGCUCAGAUUGAACGCUGGCGGCAGGCCUAACACAUGCAAGUCGAACGGUAACAGGAAGCAGCUUGCUGCUUUGCUGACGAGUGGCGGACGGGUGAGUAAUGUCUGGGAAACUGCCUGAUGGAGGGGAUAACUACUGGAAACGGUAGCUAAUACCGCAUAACGUCGCAAGACCAAAGAGGGGGACCUUCGGGCCUCUUGCCAUCGGAUGUGCCAGAGUGGGUAUUAGCGUUAAGGG